ACAUGUCCUGUAAAAUAUCGUGCAAUCUAAAUGAACGGUGGUCCUUUAUGUAACGCCUUUCUUUCUUUAUAGCUAGUGUUAAUAAAUAAGCUUUAGCCUUUGUCUUUGCUUAUAGACAUCAAGAAUCUGAUUUCAAGCCAGGGCUCACACAGACUUGAUGUAAAGUCUAAAUGAGGAGAGUGGUAAUGCUGGCGAAUGCGCUGCGCUGGGACUGCCACCUGUCUGGAUCGCAGGAGAUAUAUUGUUUGUCAAGCCUCAAGUUUAAAUCCAAGUAGCUGUGGACAGCUGAAGAGAAGCAACUGUGAAUGGAUCCUGUGAAUCAACAUGUAUCAAUCUGCUCUCCAACAGAAGAUGCUUAUUUGCAGAAAAGAAGGCUGUCUCCUGUCUGGAGUGGCGCCUGGUCUGGAGAAAAGGUGGCACUAAGGACAAGAGGUAUGCUUUAAGCAUGUGUUAGCUACUGUAAUGGGCUGCUGGGUGGGAAAUGGAUGUGCCAUGUCUGAUAGCUAGUUAAGGAUAAAUUCUGCAUUCCUUCCCAUCAUGCUUCUCAUCUACCACCAUAAGCUAAAUCUGCCUGGCACUCACAAGUGCACAUUCCAAACUAAAGCAUUCCACGUGAGGAAUUUUAGAAUUGAUUAUUCAUAAAUAACCUGUGUGGAGAUGCUGUAAGGUAUAGCUCAGCUGAUUCAUUUUACACACGCUUCCUGUCAAAUGAGAAUUUCACAAUAAGUCUUUUCCUUUCAAGAACUGUUUGGAGAAACUUUUGCAGUCUGUGUAUACUGUAAUGAACGUUUGAAUAACUGCAGAUCGCAAACUAAAGUGAAACAGAUUGCAUCAGAAUGGUGAAUAGGUUAAGAAGCAGAAAAGAGCUGUUACUUUUUGCUGCAAAUGAAUCACUAAGAAACAAGUAAAAGGAUAAAAUCCACACUUCCAUUUGCCCAACGCUCAACCCUUAUUUUCAGGUUAUUUCCGCUACAGUGACUUUGUCCUGCAAAACUCUUUCAUGUAAGACAUUAAAUAAUGUUGAGUCACUCAUGUGCCAGCUAUGGUAUCCAGUAGCUACUGAAUAUAAACCUGAGUGUUUGCGUUCUCCAAGUCUUUGCCUCGGUAAUAUCUUAAAACAUAAUAGUCUCUGCCUGUUGGCUUGUUUUCUCACGGGGAGGGUGACAGAACAUUUUGUGUUCUCUUAUCUUCAAUAGCAAUGAAACAGGAGGAGCUCCACAAUGCGAAACCGAAUCUACUGCUAUUAAUACAACAUCCCAGCCACAGAGAAGAGAUUUGUUUAUUUAUCAAAGCUAGAGAUGCCUCUCUCUGACCUUUCCAGAGCUUGUGUGCUUUAGCUGGGAAUAGAUUCCUAAGAACGGGAUGCUCUUUUUAAAAAUAUACACUAAAAACUUAGCCCCCACUCCUGAAACAGAGCCAAGGCUGUAAACCCAGUUAUGUGAAAUGCCCCAUAAUGUUGAGCAUUUAGAAUAAGUCUAACUAGGUCAACAGUCCAUUGCACAGAGAUCAGUCAGCCCACUUGCCCUUCUUACUGCCAAUCAGUGACACAUUAAAUGACUAUAACCAUACAUGGGCCCACUUUCUGAGGCCUAACAUCUGCCUGCAGCCCAAGAAACCUGUCAGAAGUGAUUUUUUUGUUUGUUUUCUUGCAGAAUUAGAAAGUGGUUUAGACUGUACUGUACUGUAUUUGUUUUUAUUCUUCUGGACUUCGUUUUGAAGUGGAAAAAAAUCAUUACAUACACAAAUCAAAAUGUAA